rnacentral:rRNA from 1 species
UACAGAGGUCUCAAGCGUUGUUCGGAUUCAUUGGGCGUAAAGGGUGCGUAGGUGGCGCGCUAAGUCAGGUGUGAAAUCUCGGGGCUUAACUCCGAAACUGCAUUUGAUACUGGCGUGCUUGAGGACUGGAGAGGAGACUGGAAUUCAUGGUGUAGCAGUGAAAUGCGUAGAGAUCAUGAGGAAGACCAGUGGCGAAGGCGGGUCCCUGGACAGUUCCUGACACUGAGGCACGAAGGCCAGGGGAGCAAACGGG